CUAGCAUUACCAGUAUUAGAGGCACUGCCUGCCCAGUGACACAUGUUCAACGGCCGCGGUAUCCUGACCGUGCAAAGGUAGCAUAAUCAUUUGUUCCCUAAAUAGGGACUUGCAUGAAUGGCUUAACGAAGGUUUAACUGUCUCUUACUCUAGAUCAGUGAACUUGACCUUUCCGUGAAGAGGCGGAAAUAAUUAAAUAAGACGAGAAGACCCUAUGGAGCUUUCAAAUCUACUAGCCUAAGUAUCCCAACAACAUCUCCCCGGAGUACAAUAUUUAACUAACAGGCUAUACAUUUUGGUUGGGGUGACCUCGGAGAACAAAACAACCUCCGAAUGAUUCUAAUCCAGACACUAACCAGUCUAAAUUCCAACUCAUCAAUUGACCCAAACUAUUGAUCAACGGAACAAGUUACCCUAGGGAUAACAGCGCAAUCCUACUUAAGAGUCCAUAUCGACAGUAGGGUUUACGACCUCGAUGUUGGAUCAGGACAUCCAAAUGGUGUAACCGCUAUUAAUGGUUCGUUUGUUCAACGAUUAAAGUC
rnacentral:rRNA from 1 species